rnacentral:tRNA from 1 species
GACAGCGUGGCCGAGUGGUGAAGGCGCUGGUCUCAAGAAAUUUCGAGGAGAUGAAACUCAAUCUUCAUUCUUCCAGUGAUAUCACUGGGUAUUCCAGUAGUGUAAUGCUGCAUGGGUUCGAAUCCCAUCGCUGUCA